CCCUUAGAUGUUCUGGGCCGCACGCGUGCUACACUGAGUGGAUCAGCGGGUCAGGUUGCGCGAAAGUGUUUCCUAAUCUUGAAAUCCGCUCGUGAUGGGGAUCGACGGUUGCAAUUUUCUGUCAUGAACGAGGAAUACCUUGUAAGCGCGGGUCAUCAUCCCGCGCUGAAUACGUCCCUGCCCUUUGUACACACCGCCCGUCGCUCCUACCGAUUGAGUGGUCCGGUGAGGCUUUGGGAUCUGGAUGGAAAGAGCGUUUCGCUGUUUCUGCCCGGAAAACUCAGUCGAACCUUAUCAUUUAGAGGAAGGAGAAGUCGUAACA
rnacentral:rRNA from 1 species